rnacentral:rRNA from 1 species
UCAAGCGAAUAAGCGCACACGGUGGAUGCCUUGGCGGUCAGAGGCGAUGAAGGACGUGGCAGCCUGCGAAAAGUAUCGGGGAGCUGGCAACAAGCUUUGAUCCGGUAAUGUCCGAAUGGGGAAACCCACCCGCUUGCGGGUAUCCUGCAGUGAAUACAUAGCUGCUGGAAGCGAACCUGGUGAACUGAAAUAUCUAAGUAACCAGAGGAAAAGAAAUCAACCGAGAUUCCGUAAGUAGCGACGAGCGAACGCGGACUAGCCCUUAAGCUGAUUUGGUUCUAGGAAAACACUCUGGAAAGAGUGGCCAUAGAAGGUGAUAGCCCUGUAUCUGAAAGGGCCAUUUCAGUGAAGACGAGUAGGGCGGGGCACGUGAAACCCUGUCUGAACAUGGGGGGACCAUCCUCCAAGGCUAAAUACUACUGACCGACCGAUAGUGAACCAGUACCGUGAGGGAAAGGCGAAAAGAACCCCGGAGAGGGGAGUGAAAUAGAACCUGAAACCGUGUGCGUACAAGCAGUAGGAGCUCCGCAAGGAGUGACUGCGUACCUUUUGUAUAAUGGGUCAGCGACUUACUGUUCGUGGCAAGCUUAACCGUAUAGGGGAGGCGAAGGGAAACCGAGUCUGAUAAGGGCGCAUAGUCGCGGGCAGUAGACCCGAAACCGGGUGAUCUAGUCAUGCCCAGGGUGAAGGUGCGGUAACACGCACUGGAGGCCCGAACCCACUCCCGUUGCAAAGGUAGGGGAUGAGGUGUGAUUAGGAGUGAAAAGCUAAUCGAACCCGGAGAUAGCUGGUUCUCCUCGAAAGCUAUUUAGGUAGCGCCUCAUAUGUAUCCUCUCGGGGGUAGAGCACUGUUAUGGCUAGGGGGUCAUCGCGACUUACCAAACCAUUGCAAACUCCGAAUACCGAGACGGACUGUAUGGGAGACACACGGCGGGUGCUAACGUCCGUCGUGAAAAGGGAAACAACCCAGACCCACAGCUAAGGUCCCAAAUUCACUGCUAAGUGGAAAACCAUGUGGAAAGGCACAGACAGCCAGGAGGUUGGCUUAGAAGCAGCCACCCUUUAAAGAAAGCGUAAUAGCUCACUGGUCGAGUCGGUCUGCGGGGAAGAUUUAACGGGGCUAAGCAGUGAACCGAAGCUUGGGGUGCAUAACUUUGUUAUGCGCGGUAGAGGAGCGUUCCGUAAGCCGUUGAAGGUGGAUUGAGAAGUCUGCUGGAGGUAUCGGAAGUGCGAAUGCUGACAUGAGUAACGAUAAUGCGGGUGAAAAACCCGCACGCCGAAAGCCCAAGGUUUCCUUGCGCAACGUUAAUCGGCGCAGGGUGAGUCGGCCCCUAAGGCGAGGACGAAAGUCGUAGUCGAUGGGAAGCAGGUUAAUAUUCCUGCACCUCGCGUAAGUGCGAUGGAGGGACGGAGAAGGUUAGGUGUACCAGGCGUUGGUUGUCCUGGGGAAAGGCGGUAGGUUUGGAUCUUUGGCAAAUCCGGGAUCCUUUAAGACCGAGCACCGAGACGAGUCUUUAAGACGAAGUCACUGAUACCACGCUUCCAGGAAAAGCUCCUAAGCUUCAGCUUACGCAGACCGUACCGUAAACCGACACAGGUGGGUAGGAUGAGAAUUCUCAGGCGCUUGAGAGAACUCGGGUGAAGGAACUAGGCAACAUGGCACCGUAACUUCGGGAGAAGGUGCACCCUUUUUGGUGGCUCGUGCGAGCUAUAGCUGAAGAGGGUCGCAGUAACCAGGCCGCUGCGACUGUUUAUCAAAAACACAGCACUCUGCAAACACGAAAGUGGACGUAUAGGGUGUGACGCCUGCCCGGUGCUGGAAGGUUAAUUGAUGGGGUCAGCCGCAAGGCGAAGCUCUUGAUCGAAGCCCCAGUAAACGGCGGCCGUAACUAUAACGGUCCUAAGGUAGCGAAAUUCCUUGUCGG